GGUUUGGUUUCCUUUCCUUGUUGGAGCUCCAGAUUUCUACGCCAUGUUCUGGGUUCCCACUGUUAGCCUCCUCGUGAUGUGCUGUACAGGUUCAAACUCUCAGCCCACGCUGUCACAGCCUUUGUCAGACCCAGUGUCCCUAGGGAGCACGGUGAAACUCUCCUGUGCCAUGAGCAGCGGAUUCAGCUUUGAUAGCUAUGUGUCCUGGUACCAGCAGAAGCCUGACAAUUCCCCACGGUACCUCUUACGUUACUUUUCAGAGUCAUACAAGGACCAGGGCGCUGGGGUCCCCACUCGAUUCUCUGGCUCCAGAGAUACGUCCAAGAACACUGGCUACCUAACCAUUGCGGGAGCCCUGGCAGAAGACGAGGCUGAUUAUUUCUGUGCAACAUGGCAUAAUUCAAGCCAGACGUGGAUCUUCGGAGGUGGGACCCAGCUGACAGUCACAGGGCAACCAGCAGCGCCUCCCACAGUGCAUCUCUUCCCUCCAUCUUCUGAUGAGUUAACGAGCAAGAGCAAAGGCACCUUAGUCUGCCUGGUGGACGACUUCACUCCAGGCGCCAUUGACGUCACCUGGUUGGCUGACGGGAGCCCGAUCACGAGUAACGUCGAGACCACCCGGCCGACCAAACGCAACGACAAGUACAUGGCCAGCAGUUACCUGUCUCUGACUGCUGCCGAGUACGAGAAGAAGAGUGAAUAUACCUGUAAGGUGACCCAUGACGGAAAGUCCUACCAGAAGAGCGUGCAGAGGGAGGCCUGUUCUGCUUAACCCUUUCGUGCCCACAGGGCUGUGCUGAACCCUGAGCUCCUUUGCAUCAGGAAGGAACCUAGACAUGCCCCAUGCAGUUACCCCCCUCCCUGAUGCCCCCUCCUCAUUUCCCCCUCUGUACUCCCAGUAAUUUACAAGAAGUCCCCUUCCCCCUUAGCUUCUUAGACACCCGUGUUGGUAGGAUGAAUAAAACCAAAAACAUGCCAUUUUGCUGUCUCUGUAUAGCUUUCCUUUGGUGAUGGUGAAAAAGAAAUAUCAUUGUUAAAUGUCAUCAUGCAGUAAAUAAAACAGACAAUGCUCUACCCUA